GUGGGGAAUAUUGGACAAUGGGGGAAACCCUGAUCCAGCGACGCCGCGUGGGUGAAGAAGGCCUGCGGGUUGUAAAGCCCUUUCGGUGAGGAAGAAAAGUUGCGACCUAACACGUCGCGACCUUGACGUAACUCAUUAAAGAAGCACCGGCUAACUCUGUGCCAGCAGCCGCGGUAAUACAGAGGGUGCGAGCGUUAAUCGGAAUUACUGGGCGUAAAGCGCGCGUAGGCGGCUUUGCAAGUCGGGUGUGAAAUCCCCAGGCCUAACCUGGGAACUGCAUUCGAGACUGCAUAGCUAGAGUAUCGGAGAGGGAAGUGGAAUUUCAGGUGUAGCGGUGAAAUGCGUAGAUAUCUGAAGGAACAUCAGUGGCGAAAGCGACUUCCUGGACGAAUACUGACGCUCAUGUGCGAAAGCGUGGGGAGCAAACAGGAUUAGAUACCCUAGUAGUCC
rnacentral:rRNA from 1 species